CACAUCUGUGGAGGACAAGAGUCAGCUGUCAGGAGCUGCUGAAGUCACUGAAGAUAAAGUUCAGAAGCAGGUAGAGAGAAAAGAUUCUGUUGAAGAACAAGACAAGAAGAUAGUAGAUAUUCAGCUGACUAAGUCUGUGGGUGAACUAGAAAAACCACCAGCUCAGCCAUGCGAUUCCUUUGUGACACCAACAGUCACUGUGACUCUAGAAGAAGGUGGGAGGUCUGUGAGUGAAACUGAACAACAAGCUGGCGGGGAAGGAUCGGCAUCUGAAACCGAGAUUGCUGACUACGAGAGGCAGAUCCGCAAAUUAGAGAUGGAGGACAGGCCCCUCAGUUUGGAGGAGGAACGAGAAUUGCAGGAGCUUAGGGAGAAGGUGAAACUGGUCCACCAGGAGGCCUAUGAGGAAGUGGACGCUGAAGAUGUUUACCAGCUGACUGGAGUGGCCAAGGACCGAAUUGCCAGGCCGGUCAAACCUUCACCUGCUUCAUCCGUGGAGAGCAACAUUGAUGAUGACAAGCUGCUCUCCCCAGUACUCUCACCUUCAAAGCUUAAACAAAGAGAGGCCUAUGGCUCCCCAAAAAGAACGCCCUCACCAGUGUUAGGGAUAAACAAAGAGGGUAAAAUGAAAGAGGAAUUAGAACGGAAAAUGAAAGAGGAGCAGGAGUGGGAAGUAGCUGGGAAGAAAACAAAAGAAGAGGUAGAGAACAAAGAAAGGGAAAUGAAAGAGAGAGAAGAGAAGGAAAAGGAGAAAGAGGCAGCAGAGAGGAUACUGAGGGAAAAGGAGGAACAGGAGGAAAAAGAGAGGAAAGAGCAGGAGGUUAAAGAGAAAUUAGAGAAAGAGAAAAAUGAGAGUGAGAGGAAAGCCAGAGAAGAACGGGAAAGGAUGGAGCAAGAGGAGAGACAAAAGAUAGAAAGAGAGGAAAAAGAAAGAAUUGAGAAAGAAAAAUUAGAUAGGGAACUAAAAGAGAAAGAAAGGUUAGAGAGGGAACUAAAAGAGAAGGAAGAAAAAGGAAAGUUAGAGAGAGAACUAAAAGAGAAGGAAGAGAAAGAAAAGUUAGAGAGAGAACUAAAAGAGAAGGAAGAAAAAGAAAAGUUAGAGAGGGAACUAAAAGAGAAGGAAGAGAAAGAAAAGUUAGAGAGAGAACUAAAAGAGAAGGAAGAGAAAGAAAAGUUAGAGAGAGAACUAAAAGAGAAGGAAGAGAAAGAAAAGUUAGAGAGAGAACUAAAAGAGAAGGAAGAAAAAGAAAAGUUAGACAGAGAACUAAAAGAGAAGGAAGAAAAAGAAAAGUUAGAGAAAGAAAAGAGAGAAAAGGAAGAAAAAGAAAAACUAGAGAGGGAACUAAAAGAGAAAGAAGAAACGGAAAAGGUAGAAUGGGAACUAAAAGAGAAAGAGGAGAAAGAAAAGAAAGAGAAGGAUGAGAUGGACAAAAAGCCUGCAGACAAGCCUGAAGACAUAACGAGACAAUUAGAGGAGGAAGCACCUGCCGAAGGACGUGUAGAGGCUGAACAGGAGGAGGGGGGUGAGGUCAACGUCUCAGAGAAAGCUGGGCCAGAGGCUGGAGCCGCUGUCCUCAAAGAGAUCCCAGAGACUCGUGCUGCCAUUGAAUCAGUGGUGACAGUUGAGGACGAUUUCAUCACGGUGGUCCAGACCAUCGAUGAAGCAGAGGAGCCGGGACACAGCGUUCGUUUCUCCGCUCCACCCGAGGCUGAAGCUCUCUGCGUCGCCGCCCGGAAAGAGG
rnacentral:lncRNA from 1 species